rnacentral:SRP_RNA from 1 species
UUCCUCGUGCGGGGCUCCCGCCCGUUGUCUUCUGCGCGGGCAGCGGCGCAGCGGCACAGGAGUCGCGCAACGCGAGCUCCCAGAAGCAGGUCAAGAGAGAGCGGCGGCGGAUCCGGGUUGCAGCAGCAGUACAGAUCGCGUUAUGCAAGAAUGCCUCCGCGCUGGUGCCGGUGGGCCUCCUCAGCUG